ensembl:lncRNA
AUUUCUUUUUUUUUUGGUUUUGUGUUUUUGUACUUUUUUAAAUUACUUUUCAUAACUUUUAUGAUUUUUAAAAAUAAGUUGUAUAAAACUAUAUGACGGACAGCUGUGAUAUAAAAUGUUUAACGCUAUAACUAGUUUGAACAAGAGAACCAGGCUGUAAUAACACGGACUAUUUUACAUGUAAAUCAUGUUGCAUUACAUUUGUUUUGCGUUCUAAAAACAUUCACAUGUGACUGAUGUAAAUGUGGACGAAGGGCGCGUCUCGUUAUCCAUCACGCUGUUAAAUUUCCGGCUCUCGGCCCCUCACUGAACAGAGCAGACGCAGAGAGAGGUGUGAGUGCAGAGGGAAAGCAAGACCUCGCGCUUGCAGGACAGUACUGCUGACAUUUGGAAAGUCAAGACAUAGGGUUUGUGCAAAAAGCUGAUAGAUCUGUCGUUUGGCGUUUUUUCUUUUUGCAUAAAAGUCACUAAAGAGGUCUGAAAAUCCUAAAGGGGUCUGAAAAGUCACUAAAGGGGUCUGAAAAGUGGUCUGAAAAGUGGCUAAAGGGGUCUGAAAGUGGCUAAAGGGGUCUGAAAAGUCACUAAAAGGGUCUGAAAAGUGCUAAAGGGGUCUGAAAAGUCACUAAAAGGGUCUGAAAAGUGCUAAAGGGGUCUGAAAAGUGCUAAAAGGGUCUGAAAAGUGUUAAAGGGGUCUGAAAAGUCACUAAAAGGGUCUGAAAAGUGGUCUGAAAAGUGGCUAAAGGGGUCUGAAAGUGGCUAAAGGGGUCUGAAAAGUCACUAAAAGGGUCUGAAAAGUGCUAAAGGGGUCUGAAAAGUGCUAAAAGGGUCUGAAAAGUGCUAAAGGGGUCUGAAAAGUCACUAAAAGGGUCUGAAAAGUGCUAAAGAGGUCUGAAAGGUCACUAAAGGGGUCUGAAAAGUGCUAAAGGGGUCUGAAAAGUCACUAAAGGGGUCUGAAAGUCUCUAAGUCGGCAACACUGGUCUGCACUGACAGCUAGAUAAAAGUCAGCUAAGCUCCGCCUCUCCCCACAAAAAGAAAAAAUUGGCGCCCCCCCUUCCGACCUCUCCUGGUUGAGAACCACUGCCUUAGAAUAUAGCAGCUGUUUCCUUACCUUUGUACCGUCUCUCGAAGUUAAUAAGCCAAAAGAAACGCAGCUUGCCUUGUUACCCAGAACCCAAACGCGGGAAGUCUCCUGCCCUGAAGACAUCAGAAAACGUCCCGUUACGCCUUGACACUGGAGACUCCUUCCAUAGACACCAAACCGCCGUCUCAUCUCACGUCAGCACUUACACACAGUUUCCAGUCUGGAGCGUCCACGAGCUGUUACCAUAGAAACGGUAACGUAUUACAGGGGACUGGUGACGGGAAUGUUAACGACGUGUCAAGUGAACUGACACUGGGGCU